rnacentral:rRNA from 1 species
GAUGAACGCUGGCGGCGUGCCUAACACAUGCAAGUCGAGCGAACAGACGAGGAGCUUGCUCCUCUGACGUUAGCGGCGGACGGGUGAGUAACACGUGGAUAACCUACCUAUAAGACUGGGAUAACUUCGGGAAACCGGAGCUAAUACCGGAUAAUAUAUUGAACCGCAUGGUUCAAUAGUGAAAGACGGUUUUGCUGUCACGUAUAGAUGGAUCCGCGCCGCAUUAGCUAGUUGGUAAGGUAACGGCUUACCAAGGCUACGAUGCGUAGCCGACCUGAGAGGGUGAUCGGCCACACUGGAACUGAGACACGGUCCAGACUCCUACGGGAGGCAGCAGUGGGGAAUCUUCCGCAAUGGGCGAAAGCCUGACGGAGCAACGCCGCGUGAGUGAUGAAGGUCUUCGGAUCGUAAAACUCUGUUAUUAGGGAAGAACAAAUGUGUAAGUAACUAUGCACGUCUUGACGGUACCUAAUCAGAAAGCCACGGCUAACUACGUG